rnacentral:sRNA from 1 species
UAUUUCUUUGUUUGCUUGGAAAGCCAAUUUCUUUCCUUAUUUUUUGUCGUUAUUGAUCCAUACAGGAUGGAUCUUGCCGCCUCCUGCGAUCUAAGCCCGGAAAAGUUUCUAGGGAUUAGAGUUACUUUUGCGAUUCUUGGCGAUUUGUAAUGUGGGUUCGAAUCGUUUCGCUAUGAGGGGACUUAUUCCAUAGGAAGUUCAAUGGAGCUUGCGCUUUGCGUAGCUGGGGGUAUCUUGCAUCAACACAACGUGUUACAGCCACAAAGUUGAAAUAUCCCGCAUCCUGGUAGAUACAGAAUAAAUAAUGGGCAUAACCGUUUCCAUCGCGC